rnacentral:rRNA from 1 species
GACGAACGCUGGCGGCGUGCGUAAUACAUGCAAGUCGUACGCUUCUUUUUCCACCGGAGCUUGCUCCACCGGAAAAAGAGGAGUGGCGAACGGGUGAGUAACACGUGGGUAACCUGCCCAUCAGAAGGGGAUAACACUUGGAAACGGGUGCUAAUACCGUAUAACAAUCGAAACCGCAUGGUUUUGAUUUGAAAGGCGCUUUCGGGUGUCGCUGAUGGAUGGACCCGCGGUGCAUUAGCUAGUUGGUGAGGUAACGGCUCACCAAGGCCACGAUGCAUAGCCGACCUGAGAGGGUGAUCGGCCACAUUGGGACUGAGACACGGCCCAAACUCCUACGGGAGGCAGCAGUAGGGAAUCUUCGGCAAUGGACGAAAGUCUGACCGAGCAACGCCGCGUGAGUGAAGAAGGUUUUCGGAUCGUAAAACUCUGUUGUUAGAGAAGAACAAGGAUGAGAGUAACUGUUCAUCCCUUGACGGUAUCUAACCAGAAAGCCACGGCUAACUACGUGCCAGCAGCCGCGGUAAUACGUAGGUGGCAAGCGUUGUCCGGAUUUAUUGGGCGUAAAGCGAGCGCAGGCGGUUUCUUAAGUCUGAUGUGAAAGCCCCCGGCUCAACCGGGGAGGGUCAUUGGAAACUGGGAGACUUGAGUGCAGAAGAGGAGAGUGGAAUUCCAUGUGUAGCGGUGAAAUGCGUAGAUAUAUGGAGGAAGAGUUUGAUCCUGGCUCAG